UUGAUGGGCUUGAUUACCUUAGAGGGCUUUUGCAACCUAACAGCUGUGAUUCCAUGAGAAGGGACCAGCAGUGCAGGUCAGGCUCCCUGGUUCCUUGGGUGAGGCUGGGGCAGGACAGACACCCCCAGGUAAUGCCCAGGAGGAGGAAGUGCUUCUGAAACCACGUCCUUUUGGUGGAAGGAACACAUGUAAUCCUGCUGGCUCUGCACAGCCUAUGUUCCAGUCUUAGUCCUUGCUUCACCAACACAAACUUUUAGUUUUGGUAAGCUGAAGUCUGUCCUGCUGUGUUUCAGCAGGUGCCUCCUGUUCUUUAGUCACAGAAAUAAUCCCUCUGAGAGCUGGGCUAAUUGUUGUACCUUUGAGAUGUUGCCUCUGAUUUUUCUCUUAGAGGCUUACAGUGAAAAGUGAUAGACAGUAAGAGGUAUAAAUAGUGUUUCAAGCAUGAUGUCAUGGAAUGUGUGGCAAUGCUGCCUCAGCUCAGGAUCUCUUCCAACUCAGGAGUUUUUAGAUUUGCAGUUAUUUUUUUCUGUGAUGGGAAUUUCUCAGUUCAGCACUGUUCACCAUAUGGAAUUAUUCAUUGAGCUAAAUUGGUAAAGAGCAGAAGUGAGAAUUUCUGUUCCUGCCGUUAUAUCAGUGGAUUGUUGAAUGUGCAGCAUCUGGUGUGUUCAGGAAUGCUUCAUCAGGAUUUAGACCUUUCUUGGGUUUUCCUUUGCAUGGAACUGGAACACCUUCUCCAUUCUUGCUCCCACUAGAGUUCAUCCCAUGUGGUUCACUUUGCUCUUGUUCAUUUUGACCACUACUGUAUUUUCCAUGUUUUUCUUCUGUGAAAAAUCAUGAGGGGAAAAAAUACAUUAAAUUCCAAAAAGCUUGAUAACAGACAUGGCCAUGUGAAGUUCUAGUCCCUCAGAAAUGUCUCUUUCUUAAAAGCAAGUAAAAAAAACCUUGCUGUAGACCCAUUAAUGCCCAGACAGGGGCUCUCGUUUUUUGCAGAAUUCCUGACAGAUUCCCUGAAUUUUGACUAUUCCCCCUCCUUGCUCUGCUGUUGUGGUAUCCUGCUUCCAGAUUUUACCCUUUUCAUUUCCAGAACAGUAGAAGAGGGAGGGGGAGAGAAAAAAAGAUGUUAAACUGAUAUGUCAGAGAAAGAUGUCUGAAUAGUUUUCUCUGUAUUUCCUAUCCUUAAAAAGGGAAGAAUAUGACUAAGAAAUGUCCCAGGUCAUGCUAAUGGUACACUUGCUCCAAAUUCUUUCCCAGCAGUGGCAGUGAGCAGCUAUUUAAGGAAAGCCUGGCUGCCAUCCCCCCCUCCAUUCCCCUCGUGCUUCCCCAGCUCAACAGUAGCUCAGUGUCAGGGGCACCCUGCCUCUUCCCCAAAUACCUCCUCUUCUUUAGAGUCCUGGUUCUUGAAACUGCCUUUCUUUUCCUUAAACUGUCCUCUGCUUCCAUCCUAUAGCGACAGCAGGAAGGGGAAGUGGAACGUUUGGGAGUGGUUUAACAUGUGUGUGUUAUCUGUGCAGCUGAAUGAAGGUGAAUAAAUCACAAUGUUUUGCUCUUUGCACUGUAACACACUUCUUUCUUUUUGUCUUUUUUUUUUUUGAGUGUUUAUGUAUAGAAACAGUGAUGAGCAAUAUGGAACUCUAGUUUGUUGGACCAUAACUUGUACUAACAUCUCAUUAGCAAAUAAUAUUUAAUUGCAGCAAAAUUAAUUUAAACCAAAUUUGGCACAGUUAAAAUACAUAUUUACUUUAUUAGAAUUUUAAGUGUGGUUUAUAGAGUUCUAAAAGUUUACCUUUCCAAAAUGGAUUGACUUCUCCCUGCAGGGCUGGAGCUCCAUGCUUAUAAAAGAGCAUGUGCUCAAAUUAGAGCUUACAAAGAACUGAGUUUAAUAAAAAUAAGUUUGAGGCUUCCUAUGUUCUCAGAGUAGGGAUCAGAGGAGUUGUUAAACCUACUUUAACAAACCUGUUAAACCUACUGUUUGAAUGUGUUGGAACAGAUUCUGCCCCAAGAGAAGGCUCAUAGAGGAGAGCAGAGCAGGAGUGGUUUGGCUUGGGAGCAGAGUUGGGGCAGUGUAAGCAGUGCUGAGCUGCUUCCUGCCAUGGGCUCCAGCUCUGGUGUCACAGGAGGAGGAGGCACUGGCAGGACUCCCAAGUCUGUCUUGCAGCCCAUGAACAGCUGUGGAAUGGAGAAAGGAACACAAUUCAGCUGCAAGAAGAACUGUGGUUCUAGAGAGAUGGCAGUGACUGACUGCGCAUGCCACAGCAUGGCCAGGCCCCUCUGCCCCAUCACUGGAUUCCUGGAGGGACAUCAGGGCUGCUCAUGCUUUUUUAGAUAAAACAUAGCAAAGCUUUGUUGCAGUGUGUUCAGAGCUGCUUUUCUGAACAACACGAAGUUCAGGUUUCAGGUUUGACUCACUGUGAUAUCUGUGCCUUGUUCAGUUACUCAGGUAGUUCAUAAAGACUUGCACCAGGGCGGUGGUGCCUCCAACACUGUAAUAAUUUCUGGAGAACAUUCUGGCUGCCCUGAUUUGUAUCUUACCUUACUUAAACACAAUGAUGCUCAAAGGCAGAACAUGAGCUGUAAGAUGGAAACUGGUUGAGAAGCUUUGUUCUUCCCUCCCGAUCUUGGUGCUCUGUGCUCAGCUGGGCACAUGUGAGCCCCAUGUCCUGUUGGACUGCUGGGGGCCCUGAAGAAUGAAUGUUUACAGUGGAAUAUU